GGAGGUGUACCCGACCUGGUGGUCGGCCUGGUCUUCAAAACCAGUGAGGCAAGUUCAUCCUGCCUGGCGGGUUCGAUUCCCGUCCGCCUCCGCCA
rnacentral:tRNA from 1 species